UACAGAGGGUGCAAGCGUUAAUCGGAAUUAUUGGGCGUAAAGGGUGUGUAGGUGGUUGUGUAAGUUAGAUGUGAAAUCCCCGGGCUUAACCUGGGAAUUGCGUUUAAAACUGCAUAGCUAGAGUACUGUAGAGGGUAGUGGAAUUUCCAGUGUAGCGGUGAAAUGCGUAGAUAUUGGAAGGAACACCAGUGGCGAAGGCGACUACCUGGGCAGCUACUGACACUGAGACACGAAAGCGUGGGGAGCAAACAGG
rnacentral:rRNA from 1 species